UAAAUCGGAAUAGCGCCAGGACCAUUUUGAUUGGUUGACGAGGAUAGAGUUUAUCGAUUGUCGGCGGGUGACUCUAGGGUCUGCACUCUACAGAUCUCAUGUUAAAAACAAGUGUAAGCUUGCAACAAAGCAGGGAUCAAGCAGUGGA
rnacentral:ncRNA from 2 species